GGAUAUAGUUCAGUUGGUAGAGCGCCAGAUUGUGGAUCUGGUUGUCCAAGGUUCGAGUCCUUGUAUC
rnacentral:tRNA from 1 species